GAACGCUGGCGGCGUGCUUAACACAUGCAAGUCGAACGCUGAAGCACCAGCUUGCUGGUGUGGAUGAGUGGCGAACGGGUGAGUAAUACGUGAGUAACCUGCCCUUGACUCUGGGAUAAGCCCGGGAAACUGGGUCUAAUACUGGAUGCUACAUGUCACCGCAUGGUGGUGUGUGGAAAGGGUUUACUGGUCUUGGAUGGGCUCACGGCCUAUCAGCUUGUUGGUGAGGUAAUGGCUCACCAAGGCGACGACGGGUAGCCGGCCUGAGAGGGUGACCGGCCACACUGGGACUGAGACACGGCCCAGACUCCUACGGGAGGCAGCAGUGGGGAAUAUUGCACGAUGGGCGAAAGCCUGAUGCAGCGACGCCGCGUGAGGGAUGACGGCCUUCGGGUUGUAAACCUCUUUCAGCAGGGAAGAAGCCACAAGUGACGGUACCUGCAGAAGAAGCGCCGGCUAACUACGUG
rnacentral:rRNA from 1 species